AGUGAACGCUGGCGGUAGGCCUAACACAUGCAAGUCGAACGGCAGCACAGUAAGAGCUUGCUCUUACGGGUGGCGCGUGGCGGACGGGUGAGGAAUACAUCGGAAUCUACUUUUUCGUGGGGGAUAACGUCGGGAAACUUACGCUAAUACCGCAUACGACCUACGGGUGAAAGCAGGGGAUCUUCGGACCUUGCUCGACUGAAUGAGCCGAUGUCGGAUUCGCUAGUUUGCGGGGUAAAGGCACACCAAGGCGACGAACCGUAGCUGGUCUGAGAGGAUGAUCAGCCACACUGGAACUGAGACACGGUCCAGACUCCUACGGGAGGCAGCAGUGGGGAAUAUUGGACAAUGGGCGCAAGCCUGAUCCAGCCAUACCGCGUGGGUGGAGAAGGCCUUCGGGUUGUAAAGCCCUUUUGUUGGGAAAGAAAAGCAGCAGGUUAAUACCCCGCUGUUCUGACGGUACCCAAAGAAUAAGCACCGGCUAACUUCGCG
rnacentral:rRNA from 1 species